rnacentral:rRNA from 1 species
AUUGAACGCUGGCGGCAGGCCUAACACAUGCAAGUCGAGCGGAGCGGCGGACGGGCGAGUAAUGCCUAGGAAUCUGCCUGGUAGUGGGGGAUAACGACCUGAAACGGGUGCUAAUACCGCAUACUAUCAGAUGAGCCUAGGUCGGAUUAGCGAGUUGGUGGGGUAAAGGCCUACCAAGGUGACGAUCCGUACCUGGUCUGAGAGGAUGACCAGUCACACUGGAACUGAGACACGGUCCAGACUCCUACGGUAGGCAGCAGUGGGGAAUAUUGGACACUGGGCGCAAGCCUGAUCCAGACAUGCCGCGUGUGUGAAGAAGGUCUUCGGAUGGUAAAGCACUUUAAGUUGGUAGGCGUUACCAACAGAAUAAGCACCGGCUAACUUCGUGCCAGCCGCCGCGGUAAUAC